UUUGGUCCACCAUCUUUAGCCCUUGGCUUUUGUUCUUGAGUUCACUUCAUGGUUCAGAAGGGCUGCCGGAGCUCCAGCCAUUGACAUCCCAUCUCUAGGUAGCAGAAAUAGAAAAGAGAAAUAGAAGGCUCUGUCCUUCAGCUGAGUCGGUUUCCUUUAAACAGUUUUUCAAAACUCCCAGAUUUUACUUGUUUCUGUGUCACUCCUUGAACCCAGGUGCUGGGCCUCAGGUUGCCAGGAGGCUUGGAAUGAUGGUCUUCUGCUGAGUUCUCUGGGUAAGAAAGAAGGAAGCGUGGCUCAGCUCAGGAAUGAAAACAUGCCAACGGGAGCCAAGAUCAUGAACGCCUUUUGUGCAGGCGGGGAAGCAAAGCCAGAGGUGCUCGGGGGACGGCACUGCACGCGUCACCUGGGCGCUCGUCACCUGCCGGCUCGGGCCUGAGAGAAUACCCCAGGACAGAAACCAAACCAAUGGAGAGCAGCAAUUGAAGGGAUUCGUGUUCUAGUCUGCUGCUACUGUAAGAGCCUGACUGAACCAGAGCGACUCCAUGUUGACCAGCAAACGACCUAGAGACUGUCGUGCCCCCCCCAUCCCUUAUAGGAUAACGAAUGAUUCAUUGUGAAUUGUUAGGUAACUGCUUUGAAGUAGCUGGGAAACUAAAUGGAAACUGUAGUGAACACAGAGACCCAACACAAAUCACACCACUCCUUACUUGCCUGUAGUUGAAUGUUCUGAACAUUAUAAUCUAAGUUGUAAAUGGAAUAAUGGAUAAUCGAUCUGCUGAUCAUUAGUAUGUGACGGUCAAGUAUAUGCUUGAAGACCACUAGCUCAGAUCAACUGAUUCUUUGCCUUUGUCCUCUUCCUGUAAGUUUUAAGUGUAACCCCCCCCUCAGCCCUAUAUAAAAUGGCCUCUGUUUCUGAGCUAGCCGCCUCUCUGAGCUACUUGGCUUGGGGAGUGCCGUCUGGCCAGACUAAUAAAGGUCUAUUUGCCAACUUGCCUGGUGUGUUCCUUCCUGGGUGACUCUUGCUGUCCAACAAGCUCCUGGAGCCUCGCUGAGCUUCUGAGCCCAGCAUCGUGGAAGCCUCUUGGCUGUUCACGCUCCAGGAGUAAAAGUGAGACUUAAGUCUUACACUACCCAUAUGGGGGAAUCACUUGCCCCAAGCACUUCAGUU
rnacentral:lncRNA from 1 species